rnacentral:tRNA from 1 species
GCCUAGUUAGCUUAGUUGGUAGCGCGUCUGCCUUGUAAGCGCUAGGUCGCGGGUUCGAUUCCCGCCCGUGGCG